rnacentral:rRNA from 1 species
AUUGAACGCUGGCGGCAGGCCUAACACAUGCAAGUCGAACGAGCGGCGGACGGGUGAGUAAUGUAUGGGGAUCUGCCUUAUGGAGGGGGAUAACUACUGGAAACUGUGGCUAAUACCGCAUACUAUCGGAUGAACCCAUAUGGGAUUAGCUAGUAGGUGGGGUAAAGGCUCACCUAGGCGACGAUCCCUAGCUGGUCUGAGAGGAUGAUCAGCCACACUGGGACUGAGACACGGCCCAGACUCCUACGGGAGGCAGCAGUGGGGAAUAUUGCACAAUGGGCGCAAGCCUGAUGCAGCCAUGCCGCGUGUAUGAAGAAGGCCUUAGGGUUGUAAAGUACUUUCAGCAGGGAGGCGUUACCCGCAGAAGAAGCACCGGCUAACUCCGUGCCAGCAGCCGCGGUAAUUC